UAUAAGGGACAGGUGAGUCAUCGAAUCUUUGAACGCACAUUGCGCCCGCCAGUACUCUGGCGGGCAUGCCUGUUCGAGCGUCAUUUCAACCCUCAAGCCCUGCUUGGUGUUGGGGCCCUACGGCUGCCGUAGGCCCUGAAAGGAAGUGGCGGGCUCGCUACAACUCCGAGCGUAGUAGAAUCCUAUCUCGCUAGGGAGGUGCGGCGUGCUCCUGCCGUUAAAGACCCCAUCUUUAACCAAGGUUGACCUCGGAUCAGGUAGGAAUACCCGCUGAACUUAAGCAUAUCAAUAAGCGGAGGA
rnacentral:misc_RNA from 1 species